rnacentral:rRNA from 1 species
AUUGAACGCUGGCGGAAUGCUUUACACAUGCAAGUCGAGCGGCAGCGCGGCCUUCGGGCUGGCGGCGAGCGGCGAACGGGUGAGUAAUGCAUCGGAACAUGCCCAGUCGUGGGGGAUAACACUUCGAAAGAAGUGCUAAUACCGCAUACGUCCUGAGGGGGAAAGCGGGGGAUCGCAAGACCUCGCGCGAUUGGAGUGGCCGAUGUCAGAUUAGCUAGUUGGUGGGGUAAAGGCCUACCAAGGCGACGAUCUGUAGCUGGUCUGAGAGGAUGAUCAGCCACACUGGGACUGAGACACGGCCCAGACUCCUACGGAAGGCAGCAGUGGGGAAUUUUGGACAAUGGGGGCAACCCUGAUCCAGCCAUUCCGCGUGAGUGAAGAAGGCCUUCGGGUUGUAAAGCUCUUUCGGCAGGAACGAAACGGUGGGCUCUAACAUAGUCCGCUAAUGACGGUACCUGAAGAAGAAGCACCGGCUAACUACGUG